rnacentral:rRNA from 1 species
GUCUCAGUUCGGAUUGGAGUCUGNAACCCGACUCCAUGAAGCUGGAUUCGCUAGUAAUCGCGCAUCAGCCACGGCGCGGUGAAUACGUUCCCGGGCCUUGUACACACCGCCCGUCAAGCCAUGGAAGCCGGGGGUGCCUGAAGUGCGCUGCCGCGAGGAGCGCCCUAGGGUAAAACCGGUGACUGGGGCUAAGUCGUAACAAGGUAUC